UAUGUAGGGUGCGAGCGUUAAUCGGAAUUACUGGGCGUAAAGCGUGCGCAGGCGGUGAGCUGUGUCCGAUGUGAAAGCCCCGGGCUUAACCUGGGAAUGGCAUUGGAAACUGGCUCGCUGGAGUGUGGCAGAGGGGGGUGGAAUUCCGCGUGUAGCAGUGAAAUGCGCAGAUAUCAGGAGGAACACCGGUGGCGAAGGCGGGUCUCUGGGCCGAUACUGACGCUGAGGAGCGAAAGCGUGGGGAGCGAACAGG
rnacentral:rRNA from 1 species